UACUCGAGUGGCGAACGGGUGAGUAACACGUGGGUGAUCUGCCCUGCACUUCGGGAUAAGCUUGGGAAACUGGGUCUAAUACCGGAUAGGAGCCAUCUUUAGUGUGGUGGUUGGAAAGUUUUUUCGGUGUAGGAUGAGCUCGCGGCCAAUCAGCUUGUUGGUUGGGUAAUGGCCUACCAAGGCGGCGACGGGUAGCCGGCCUGAGAGGGUGUACGGCCACAUUGGAACUGAGAUACGGCCCAG
rnacentral:rRNA from 1 species